AUACAUAGGCGGCACUGAAAAUUUCGGGAAUUAACGAAGUGACACAACAUUACUAUUUAAAAAUGUAUUUAUUGCUUUUCGAAGUAUUCUCCGCGAAAUUUGACACAUUUUUCCAUACGAUGGAACCAAUCAUUGAAGCAACCAUUCCAUUCGGAAGUUGGCGUCUCCAAAAUGGCCGUUUUGUAGGCGUCCGCAGCUUCUUCAGGUUGUAAGGUCUUGAUGCUGUCCACGUAUAAUUGUCUAUGAUGCACUAUAUUUGAAUUUGUAUUAUGUUCCUUUUACUUUUGAUGUGCGGUGUCAUUCUGAAUUAUAUUUUCUCUUAUACAAGUCAACACAAUGUUUUCAAGUAUUUAAUUUACGUUUUAAUUAAUUGCUAUAGCCGCUAGUCCACCCUAUCAAAGGUGAUGAAAAUCUCUGUCCACGCAAUUUAUUCUUUAUUUUAGGGAAAGUAUAGAAAUCAUUAGGGCUUAGGUCGGGGCUGUACGGCGGAUGGUCUAAUAAUUCUAUGUUUUCUUGCUCUAAAAACUCUUUUGUUCUGUGCGCGGUGUGAGAACUCGCAUUCUCGUGAUGGAGGAUGAUGCGGCGGUUGCAGUUCUCUUUACGGAGUUCAGAAACGACCUGUGGCAAACAAAUGCAAGCAUACCAUUCUGCAUUAACCGUUCUUUGUCCCUCAAGAGGAAUAGUCGUAACAUGGCCGGUUUUGGAGACAAACGUGGCCACCUUUUUUUUUUGCAACACUCCGUGAACGAACAAUUUUUGUUGGCUUUAAUUCAUUUUCGAACACCCAAACUCGUGUUUGGUUUUUUAUUUCGGGUUCGUACGCGUAUAUCCAGGAUUCGUCACCUGAUACAAUGUUGUAUACAGCAUUUGAGGAUCCUGCGUGGAAUCUUUCGAGAGUUCUGACGCACCAAGUAACGCGAGCCGCUUUUUGCUCUUCACAGAGCGAAUGCGGUAUCCAUCGGGAAAACAACUUUUUUACACCUGGUUGUUCAUGCAAGAUUAUUUGUAUUUGACUCAUGCCAAUGUCUAAAGUUGCCUGAAUUUCGCGGUAUGUCACAUGUCGAUCUUCCUCAAUCAGCUUACGCACAGCAUCAACGUUUUCUUGGGUGACUGCGGUUUUUGGACGACCUUGACGGGGAUCAUCACUGAGCUUGACACGUCCACGUUGAAACUCAGCAAACCAGCGAUAAAUUGUGGUUUUGGAUGGGGCUUCAUCACCAAAUGCAGAAAUCAUCCGGUCAACACACUGUUUUCAUGUUAAACCACUUCGAAAGUCAUAAUAAAUCAUCGCUCUUGAAUUUUCUCGAGUCAAUUCCAUUUUCUCAACGACUAAACAAGUUUGACAAAACCUAGUGACAAGACCGAGAAUCUUUUUUAAAAUAAAUAAAUGGUAUUCGAUUUUUAAAACCAAGGAGUUUUCAAUUAAAAAGAUUUUAAUAUGACAGGAACAGUGGAAAUAUUCCAUUCCCGAUACUUUUAGUGCAGCCCUCAAAGUAUUUUAUACUAGUCCAUUUGAAUAAAAUAAAUGUUACUUCCUGUUAACAUUUGAACAAAGAGAAAUAAACAAAAAUAACCAUGCAAAAAAAUCGUACUACUGAUUUAGUGCCGU